rnacentral:lncRNA from 1 species
CAUAGGCCUGAACAAUUAGGGUUUUCCAAAUUAAUUAAUUGCAACGAUAGGCAGAGUGUUACAUCUCCCCCACCUUUAAAACAUUUGGUCCACAAAUUUGUCUCAAACAGGUCCGGAUACUUCUCCCUCAUCUUGCUCUCCAACUCCCACGUGGCUUCCUCUAAGGUAUGAUGCUACCAUCAUACCUUCACCAUGGAAAUCAUCUUAUUAUGCAAGAUCUUAUUGGUCCACCCAAGAAUCUCCAUGGGAACCUCCUCAUAAGUCAUGUCGGCUUGUACCUGUACCUCAUCGCGAGAAAAAAUAUGAGAAAGAUCUGGGUGGUACCUCUUAAGCAUCGAGAAAUGAAAGACGUCAUAUAGACCCAUAAACUCUCAGGAUAGAGUGAGGCGGUAUGCCACGGGUCCAAUGCACUCGAUGAUCCAAAAUGGUCCAUUAUAACGAGGGCUACACUUCUCUCUCUUUCCAAGCCACAUCUUUCUCUUAUAGGGGAAAACCUUGAGGAAUACCUAAUCUCCCACGACAAACUCCAAGAGUCAUCUACGAUUGUCGGCGUAACUCUUCUGACGGCUCUGGGCAAUAGCCAAUUUUUUGCAGAUGAUGGCGACCUUCUCAAU